rnacentral:rRNA from 1 species
CCUACGGGCGGCAGCAGUGGGGAAUAUUGGACAAUGGGGGGAACCCCGAUCCAGCCAUGCCGCGUGUGUGAAGAAGGCCCUCGGGUUGUAAAGCACUUUCAGUGAGGAAGAACGCCUGGUGGUUAAUACCCAUCAGGAAAGACAUCACUCACAGAAGAAGCACCGGCUAACUCCGUGCCAGCAGCCGCGGUAAUACGGAGGGUGCGAGCGUUAAUCGGAAUUACUGGGCGUAAAGCGCGCGUAGGUGGCUUGAUAAGCCGGUUGUGAAAGCCCCGGGCUCAACCUGGGAACGGCAUCCGGAACUGUCAAGCUAGAGUGCAGGAGAGGAAGGUAGAAUUCCCGGUGUAGCGGUGAAUGCGUAGAGAUCGGGAGGAAUACCAGUGGCGAAGGCGGCCUUCUGGACUGACACUGACACUGAGGUGCGAAAGCGUGGGUAGCAAACAGGAUUAGAUACCCCGGUAGUC